AGUAAUAAUGAAAGCUCAUAUCUCGAGGACACGUGGCGCCGUAGGAUGAAAGCAAUCAUUACGGCUCAAAUCUCCAUAACAUGUGGCGAAAAUUCAUUCGUUAAAGGGUUAAAAAUGUCAUGAUAAGGCUCAUAUCUCAAGAGCCACUUGUCACCAUGGGAAGAAAGCAAUAAUUAGGGUGUAAAUCUCAAGUGCCAAGUGUCACCAUCUUAGAAAGCCAAGUGUCACAAUCCUAUGGAUUUAAGGGCACUAUAUAAGAAUGCCUUGGGUUGGGUUUUUGGCCACCAAAUUAAGGGGGUAAGUUGCUUAUAAAGGAGGGGAAACUCUGCUGUAAAGAAGGGAAGGAAACCCUGCCCGAGUAGGAGCCGAAAGCAAGCCGUUGGAAGGCACGAGCCCCUUGAAAUCCGUGCAAAACAGUAACCAAAACUGCAAGGUUUGGAUACAAAAAGGUCUCGGUUUUUAUAGAACAGUCCACUUGGAGCGACGUUUGGCCGUGAAUUUGUGCAACCAAGAAGUGGGAAGCUUCGAUCUGUCAGGCUCGGGCUCAAAGGGAGAAGGCCUAGAGGCGGCGCGAGUGUAGUUAUCUUGUUUAGGCGUCUCUUAUGAUGUUGUAGUAUGUUACAAGAUUUGUACUCUUAACUUUGACAAUAUUUUGUCUCGUGGAGAAUGAAGUCUACUUUCCCUGCUAUCUUGAUAAAUUGUGUGUGUGAAUGUUUAUUUUAUGGAAGUCCCAACAUUUCAGGUUACGAUCCUUACUGUAGUAUAUGGGAUUUCCUUAACGCCCGUGUA